GGGAUAGACACUAGGUAAAAAAGGGCUUUUGCUUGCAGAGAAAUGGAGAGCACACGAAGGGUGGAUGUAUAUGUGGAUUUAAUAAACACCUACUGAGUCUCUCUUCUACUUCCCUGCCGUUUCCAGCUCAGCGAGGCAGAGCAAAGGCUGCUGAAGCCCAUCAGGAGCUGCUGUGAAGAGCAAUGAAGUCGUGUUCCUAAAGGGCUUGGAAAUAAUCUGAUGAAAGCCAUAUGCUGAUAUUGGGUUCAUCUAACACAGGUUUGAUUUCAGGAUUAUUUGGAAAUGAUGCAACAGAGAGAGAGGGGCCUUGUGACAACUCUUGAGAAAUGCCUGCACAGGAUCAACCAUCAGCCUGUUUUUCCAGGAGAGAGAUCCAGGCACAUCCAAGGGGAUUUAUUUUAGAAAUGGCACUGCAAUCUCUCAAUAAAAUCAUUCUGAUGUGAUUUCCA